GGGAGAUGGCGAAGUCUACAAUGCAGUCGAACGGUAACAGGAAGCAGCUUGCUGCUUUGCUGACGAGUGGCGGACGGGUGAGUAAUGUCUGGGAAACUGCCCGAUGGAGGGGGAUAACUACUGGAAACGGUAGCUAAUACCGCAUAACGUCGCAAGACCAAAGAGGGGGACCUUCGGGCCUCUUGCCAUCGGAUGUGCCCAGAUGGGAUUAGCUAGUAGGUGGGGUAACGGCUCACCUAGGCGACGAUCCCUAGCUGGUCUGAGAGGAUGACCAGCCACACUGGAACUGAGACACGGUCCAGACUCCUACGGGAGGCAGCAGUGGGGAAUAUUGCACAAUGGGCGCAAGCCUGAUGCAGCCAUGCCGCGUGUAUGAAGAAGGCCUUCGGGUUGUAAAGUACUUUCAGCGGGGAGGAAGGGAGUAAAGUUAAUACCUUUGCUCAUUGACGUUACCCGCAGAAGAAGCACCGGCUAACUCCGUGCCAGCAGCCGCGGUAAUACGGAGGGGUGCAAGCGUUAAUCGGAAUUACUGGGCGUAAAGCGCACGCAGGCGGUUUGUUAAGUCAGAUGUGAAAUCCCCGGGCUCAACCUGGGAACUGCAUCUGAUACUGGCAAGCUUGAGUCUCGUAGAGGGGGGUAGAAUUUCCAGGUGUAGCGGUGAAAUGCGUAGAGAUCUGGAGGAAUACCGGUGGCGAAGGCGGCCCCCUGGACGAAGACUGACGCUCAGGUGCGAAAGCGUGGGGAGCAAACAGGAUUAGAUACCCUGGUAGUCCACGCCGUAAACGAUGUCGACUUGGAGGUUGUGCCCUUGAGGCGUGGCUUCCGGAGCUAACGCGUUAAGUCGACCGCCUGGGGAGUACGGCCGCAAGGUUAAAACUCAAAUGAAUUGACGGGGGCCCGCACAAGCGGUGGAGCAUGUGGUUUAAUUCGAUGCAACGCGAAGAACCUUACCUGGUUCUUGACAUCCACGGGAAGUUUUCAGAGAUGAGAAUGUGCCUUCGGGAACCGUGAGACAGGUGCUGCAUGGCUGUCGUCAGCUCGUGUUGUGAAAUGUUGGGUUAAGUCCCGCAACGAGCGCAACCCUUAUCCUUUGUUGCCAGCGGUCCGGCCGGGAACUCAAAGGAGACUGCCAGUGAUAAACUGGAGGAAGGUGGGGAUGACGUCAAGUCAUCAUGGCCCUUACGACCAGGGCUACACACGUGCUACAAUGGCGCAUACAAAGAGAAGCGACCUCGCGAGAGCAAGCGGACCUCAUAAAGUGCGUCGUAGUCCGGAUUGGAGUCUGCAACUCGACUCCAUGAAGUCGGAAUCGCUAGUAAUCGUGGAUCAGAAUGCCACGGUGAAUACGUUCCCGGGCCUUGUACACACCGCCCGUCACACCAUGGGAGUGGGUUGCAAAAGAAGUAGGUAGCUUAACCUUCGGGAGGGCGCUACCACUUUGUGAUACGAUUUUUC
rnacentral:rRNA from 1 species